UUCUGGAGGUUCCACUGAGAUCCCUCGUCUGAGAGCCAGUCUCGGGGUUGAUCCCUGAUCGGUCUGGUCCGGACCACGCGACUGACUACUGGAGGGGAGAGAUCUGGACAAUCAUGAGACUGCCCCAGUGAAGGGAUCUGGAAUUAGGUGCAGACUUUGAGGAAAGCCGUCGCUGGUGCUGACGAGCACAACUGAGUGACCUGCGCAGAUAAAAUCAGGCUAAAAGAGACCCAGACCUGGACAGCUGCCCUCCCAAACCACCGCCUCAGAGACACAGACAACCACUCCAACUGCACACCUCUGCACCUCAACCAUCCACAGCAGCUGAGUGGGACCCUCCUCCCUGUUAUAUGGGACCUGGAGCCUCUACCCUUACUCCCCUGUGUGCUAUCACACCUGUGGCCGAAAGCAAAAGGGGAUUCUGAAGGAAACGAGACCAGAUGAUCCAAUUUCCAGCA